rnacentral:rRNA from 1 species
AACGAACGCUGGCGGCAGGCUUAACACAUGCAAGUCGAGCGCCCCGCAAGGGGAGCGGCAGACGGGUGAGUAACGCGUGGGAAUCUACCCAUCUCUACGGAAUAACGCAUGGAAACGUGUGCUAAUACCGUAUACGUCCUUCGGGAGAAAGAUUUAUCGGAGAUGGAUGGGCCCGCGUUGGAUUAGCUAGUUGGAGGGGUAAAGGCCUACCAAGGCGACGAUCCAUAGCUGGUCUGAGAGGAUGAUCAGCCACCCUGGGACUGAGACACGGCCCGGACUCCGCAGGGAGGCAGCAGUGGGGAAUAGUGGACAAUGGGCGCAGGACUGUUCCAGCCAUGCCGCGUGAGGGAUGAAGGCCCUAGGGUUGUAAAGAUCUGUCACCGGUGAAGAUAAUGACGGUAACCGGAGAAGAAGCCCCGGCUAACUUCGUGCCAGCAGCCGCGGUAAAAC